rnacentral:tRNA from 1 species
UGGGGGAUCGUCUAAUGGUAGGACUUUGGUUUUUGGUACCAAGUAUCGGGGUUCGAAUCCCUGUCCCCCAG